rnacentral:misc_RNA from 1 species
GGGAAACUGGAGCACUCAAAGAAGCAAAAGACAAAUUAGAAAAACGUGUAGAAGAACUUACAUGGCGCUUGCAACUUGAGAAGCGGCUGAGGACUGAUCUGGAAGAGGAGAAAGCCCAAGAAAUUGCCAAAUUACAAGAUGCUUUACACAGCAUGCAAUUACAAGUUGAAGAAGCAAAUGCUCAAGUUAUCAAAGAGCGAGAGGCUGCUCAGAAAGCUAUUGAAGAAGCACCUCCAGUUGUCAAGGAAACUCCAGUUUUCGUGGAGG